UACGGAGAUAUCACGUUGAAACACCGACUCUCGUACGAUCACCGAAGUUAAGCAACGUCGAGCCUGAUCAGUGCCUACAUGGGUGACAGCUCGGGAAUUCCAGGUGCUGCAAG